GGAAAUAAUUCAUGUGUUCAUAGAACGACAGAGCAUCUAACGUGUAGAUACAGUUCUAGGCUCUGGAGAGAUGAAAUAGAGCAAAGCAGAUUAGAAAAAGGUCCUUGUAGAGGACAGCUUUCUGCAGGGAAUAAUCAAUAAGAAGGGUAAGUAGGUUAAAUAUGGUAAGUGGCACAGAGAAAAACCAACCCAAAGGAACACUGAGAUUGUGGCUGAGAUAUGAGGUCUAGUGGCCACAGAAGGCCUCAACAUGAAUGGCACGACUGGACAGGGACUUGUGGGACAUGACGAGGAGGGUGCCUGUACACCUGCAGAAAGCAAAGCAAAGUGCCUGGCAUGGGGAGGACAUUUUUUUUUUUUUGGUCUUUUUGAGACAGGCUGGCCUUGAGCUCAUUUUGUAGCUCAGGCUGGUCUUGAACUUGCGACGAUCUUCCUGCCUAGGCCUCCCAAGUGCUGGGAUUACAAGCGUGCACACUGGCUCAUGUGCAGAACAGAGGUCGAGGCUAGUGUGGGCUCGGGGGACUGAGUGAGGAAGAGACGCUGGCGAUGAGAUCAUGUAGAUCUAGAGCUCAUGGUGGUGGCUUCAAAUUUCCCUCUGAGAAGCCAGUGGGUGAUUUGGGGCAGAAGAGGGACACCAUGCAUCCUCUGACUGUCUGGUAGACAAAGACUGGAGAGUCUGACCCUGUUUAGCUAGGAGGUAGACAAUACGGGCUGUGGUGGCCGCUGCGGGGUGGAGGAAUGGGGUUGGGCUGAUCCUUUUCCGUGGUAAAUCUGACGGGCUUUAUGAAUGCAGGGUGGGCAGGCUUUGAGAGGUGGUAGCCAACGCUGGUGUCCUGUGUAUCGAGCUACUCAUUGGGAAUAUCUAUCCCGUUUCUCUUUUAAGGCAGCCAUCUGGGACGUACAACUCAGAAACAAGAAAAACCAAUCUCUUCAAAGCCGGCAAGUGGGGGUGGGCACUAAGGCUCACCUACUCAUAAGCAAGUUUUAAAGUUUUUGCUUAUUCUUGAGUUAUUAUUCCAAAAGUAAUCAUUUUCAGAUCACAUUAUUUUUUCAAAUCAUUAGAUAUUAGAAAUGGCAAAUCAAAUGGGAAAGAGGAUUAUUCCCAGAUUUAGAAAAAAAUCAUGUUCACUAGAAAUAGUAGCUGACACCAGAAGAUAAAGAUAAAAACAACUAAAACAUGAAAAAAUGUAAAAGAUAGAGAAGUGAGAAUACUUGGUACAGGGUCUCAUGCUUCUCAGGGCCUCAGAAGACCCUGUUAAAAUAGGAAUGAGUGUAAUAGCCUUUGAAUAGUCUUGUGCCAUUCAAACCAAGUUAGACCGUUUUGAAUUUUUUGGUCAAGGGAAGCAGAGAGGUAAUAGAUGUUUUGCCUCUCAAAGGAAGAAAUGUACUGUGAUUGCUUGGCUGCGUCAGUUUCUAGGGGAGCACAGAGGAUAUUCUGGCAGGUCUCAGUUUUGUGGUUCUAUCUUAGGCAACUGGCUUAACAAACCAGAAGAAAGUAUAGAGGGUUAUUUCACUCCCCUUUCUUUUAAACUUAGAAGCUGCCUCAACUUCCGUUCCCGGGGUCCUUCUUGACAUAUUCCAAAAUCCCAGUGUUAUGGCUUGGUCUUGACAUCCUCCAAGGUCUCAUAUGGUCCUAAGUGGGUCAGAGAUGGCUGGGUCUAGGGUGUGUGGUGCUAGAAUUGAUUCAUGGUGCAACGAUAGCUAGGAUCAAGGGCCCUAGGAUUAAGGGUGAGAGUCUACUAAGUAGCCUGGAUAAAUAUAAAGCAUAGGAAAAGUGUGGUUGUUCCUUGUUGCUUUUCUGCCUUCUGCCCGCCAUGAACUUUUUCUUCUCUUCAAUGCCUAUCUACCCUUUGUCAUCUUUCUUUGGAGCCAGCUGAUUAUAGACUAAAAUCUCUACAAACUGUGAGCUAAAUGAACCUUUUAUCUUUUUAGUUAGGUGUGAGUUAUUUUGUCUCAGCAACAAGAAAAAUAACUAAGACACCUAGAGACAAUUCAAAUGCUUUCACUAAGCUCCAAAGACUCCUAAGAACCAAAUUUCUUUAAAUCUUUCAGCAUUAAACCAGUGUUAUUUUCUGAUUCUUAUUUGGGGAAAAUACAGUGAUACAACCCAUUUAAAUCCAAUUUCUGGCCUAGGGAAAAUAUGGUAAUAUAUAUUACUAGAUUUAGGGUCAACCACCCUGAAUUCAGAUUUUGACGGGUUUAUCAGACAGAUUUGCAUCUUUGGCAAGUUCCUUAACCUGUUUGUGUUACCGUUUUUUAAAGGUCAAGACAGUUAAGACUUUAUAAGGCUGAUAUGAAAAUGAAAUGGAACAGCAUAGAAAAAGCACCUUUCCAUCAUGUCACGUAGUGGACUUUUAGUAACUGGUUUCUUUCUCUCAGGAUUCCAUCUUCUUCCAGCUCCAAGUGAGGAUCAGAAAGGUUGCAUAAUCAUUCAGGAGAGUGAUGAUCAAGGAAUCUGCACUAUGAAUCUCACACACUGAAGUUCCUGGAUAAAAACAUGAAACUGAAAAAAUGCAUCAUAAAAUAAAUGAGUUCUGAUGGCUACAGGAAGAGAGAAGCCUGCGGCCAGCUUUGCUGCAAGGCUGGGAUUCAGAAGCAAACAGACUGCACUUACUGGCAAGGACUGAGCCCAUCCGAGGAGACCAAGCAGCAGAAUCACAGUCUUCAUGUUUCAGAUGGCCACCUAUAACAACAAAACAGUAUCCCCACUUCAGAUCGGCUGCAAAUAAUCACUAAGCUCCUGUAAGUCUCCACAUUGGCAAAUGGAUUCAUUUUCCAAGUCUUUAUAAUUUAAUACAUUUAUUUGCAUAAACUAAGUUCCUGUUCAUUGUUCUGAUUUUCAUUUGAUAAACAUAAUUUUGUCUCCACACCUAGCAGACAUUCAGUGCCAUCUCCUUAUGCUCUAUUCCCAUCUAAUAACAAAA